ACAGUUAAUCCGAUGGUCCGAUAGCGCGCAGCUUGCCGCUAUCGUUCGGAUUUAUUGAAUUAAAAUCUCGACCCGGGCCUAGCCGCCGCGCCGCCGAGCGGUAUCGCGCGCCGAGAUCAGAGCACGUGCGCUUUUCGAUAAUUCAUCUCGUUGCAUUUACUUGAAUGGGCUCAGCCUGAGGACUUUGCUAACAUCUGCCCAGCAAGAAUAGUGCUUCGUUGAAUCUACCACUGGAUCGGAUUCGCGACGCAUUAAGAAGAUUCGGCGAGAAACUCGAUAUCCUUGGUCUCUCAAACCAGCCAGCACUGAAGGCAGGAGUUCAGCUAUGUAUCCUUGCACGAGUACAGCAGCGGCGGUACGCUCUCUCGCUUCAAUGGCCGCUAUUUGGGCGGCUUCCGCCUCGGUGACCCGUCUUUCCUGGAUAAUAACAAUAACCGGUAAUAACAGAUGACCAUAUUUUGGGCAUUUAUCACAAUUUGGAACUAAAGUAUUUGUAACUAUUACACAUCAGGCGGACGAUGUCCUUAUUCAUACAAAUAAAUAGUCUGAAUAUGGAUA